rnacentral:rRNA from 1 species
CAGCAGCCGCGGUAAUACGUAGGUGGCAAGCGUUGUCCGGAAUUAUUGGGCGUAAAGGGCUCGCAGGCGGUUUCUUAAGUCUGAUGUGAAAGCCCCCGGUUCAACCGGGGAGGGUCAUUGGAAACUGGGAAACUUGAGUGCAGAAGAGGAGAGUGGAAUUCCACGUGUAGCGGUGAAAUGCGUAGAGAUGUGGAGGAACACCAGUGGCGAAGGCGACUCUCUGGUCUGUAACUGACGCUGAGGAGCGAAAGCGUGGGGAGCGAACAGGAUUAGAUACCCCGGUAGUCCCUGUCUCUUAUAC